rnacentral:rRNA from 1 species
GUUGGGCUGUUCGCCCAUUAAAGCGGUACGCGAGCUGGGUUUAGAACGUCGUGAGACAGUGGACAUACGCGCUGUCUAUAAACUUGGCUAUAUGCUGGAAACACCGAUUGAAUCCUGCGCUACUAGUCAGUAGCGGCUUCGUGACUGUUACAUCCCAACGAUAGGUUGGAGGUCAUGGACCCAGCUGGCAGUGACAACGCGACAGGUGCGGUCAAUCAGCAGGAAAGACUGGAUGCAUACCAAACUCUGCAUCCAGAAUCCUCAGAGACCAUAUGCCAGGCAUCGCUCUUACCGGCGGUGAAGAUAUGGUCCGAUCUGCAUGGCGACAUGCAGAGUCAGACAGAAAUGCUCUGGCCCUAGGCGCUCAGCGCCUCGGUAACAACAAUGUCGGUCCCUAUCCGGUGCAGCCGUAGGAAAUCUGAGGAAGGCUGUCCCUAGUACGAGAGGACCGGGACGGACGCAGCUCUCGUGUGCCAGUUGUCCUGCCAAGGGCACGGCUGGUUUGCGACCUGCGGAAGGGAUAAGCGCUGAAAGCAUCUAAGCGCGAAGCUCGUUUCGAGAUGAGAUUUCCCACAGGGAUAACCUGGUAAGGCCCGUGGUCAGACCACCACGUUGAUAGGCCGGAGGUGUACGCACAGCAAUGUGUUCAGCCGACCGGUACUAAUCGGCCGAGGGCUUGGGGCU